rnacentral:rRNA from 1 species
AUGAACGCUAGCGGCAGGCUUAACACAUGCAAGUCGAGGGGCAGCAUGAGACGGAGAUUCGUCGAAGUCUUGAUGGCGACCGGCGCAAGGGUGCGUAACGCGUGAGCAACUUGCCCGUUUCAGGGGGAUAACCGGUGGAAACGCCGACUAAUACCCCAUAGUAUUGAGUUUAGGCAUCUUUACUCAAUUAAAGAAUUUCGGAAACGGAUAGGCUCGCGUGACAUUAGCUAGAUGGCGGGGUAACGGCCCACCAUGGCGACGAUGUCUAGGGGGUUCUGAGAGGAAGGUCCCCCACACUGGAACUGAGACACGGUCCAGACUCCUACGGGAGGCAGCAGUGAGGAAUAUUGGUCAAUGGUCUGACGACUGAACCAGCCAUGCCGCGUGAAGGUCACGGCCCUAUGGGUCUUAAACUUCUUUUGCGAGGGAGCAAUAAGGCGCACGUGUGCGUCGAUGAGAGUACCUUGCGAAUAAGCAUCGGCUAACUCCGUG